rnacentral:rRNA from 1 species
GACGAACGCUGGCGGCGUGCUUAACACAUGCAAGUCGAACGGAAAGGCCCUGCUUUUGUGGGGUGCUCGAGUGGCGAACGGGUGAGUAACACGUGAGUAACCUGCCCUUGACUUUGGGAUAACUUCAGGAAACUGGGGCUAAUACCGGAUAGGAGCUCCUGCUGCAUGGUGGGGGUUGGAAAGUUUCGGCGGUUGGGGAUGGACUCGCGGCUUAUCAGCUUGUUGGUGGGGUAGUGGCUUACCAAGGCUUUGACGGGUAGCCGGCCUGAGAGGGUGACCGGCCACAAUGGGACUGAGAUACGGCCCAGACUGCUACGGGAGGCAGCAGUGGGGAAUAUUGCACAAUGGGCGGAAGCCUGAUGCAGCAACGCCGCGUGCGGGAUGACGGCCUUCGGGGUGUAAACCGCUUUCGCCUGUGACGAAGCGUGAGUGACGGUAAUGGGUAAAGAAGCACCGGCUAACUACGUG